rnacentral:rRNA from 1 species
GGCUUAGAGUUUGAUCCUGGCUCAGAUUGAACGCUGGCGGCAGGCCUAACACAUGCAAGUCGAGCGGAUGAAAGGAGCUUGCUCCUGGAUUCAGCGGCGGACGGGUGAGUAAUGCCUAGGAAUCUGCCUGGUAGUGGGGGACAACGUUUCGAAAGGAACGCUAAUACCGCAUACGUCCUACGGGAGAAAGCAGGGGACCUUCGGGCCUUGCGCUAUCAGAUGAGCCUAGGUCGGAUUAGCUAGUUGGUGAGGUAAUGGCUCACCAAGGCGACGAUCCGUAACUGGUCUGAGAGGAUGAUCAGUCACACUGGAACUGAGACACGGUCCAGACUCCUACGGGAGGCAGCAGUGGGGAAUAUUGGACAAUGGGCGAAAGCCUGAUCCAGCCAUGCCGCGUGUGUGAAGAAGGUCUUCGGAUUGUAAAGCACUUUAAGUUGGGAGGAAGGGUUGUAGAUUAAUACUCUGCAAUUUUGACGUUACCGACAGAAUAAGCACCGGCUAACUCUGUGCCAGCAGCCGCGGUAAUACGUAGGGUGCGAGCGUUAAUCGGAAUUACUGGGCGUAAAGCGUGCGUAGGUGGUUUGUUAAGUUGGAUGUGAAAUCCCCGGGCUUAACCUGGGAACUGCAUCCAAAACUGGCAAGCUAGAGUAUGGUAGAGGGUGGUGGAAUUUCCUGUGUAGCGGUGAAAUGCGUAGAUAUAGGAAGGAACACCAGUGGCGAAGGCGACCACCUGGACUGAUACUGACACUGAGGUGCGAAAGCGUGGGGAGCAAACAGGAUUAGAUA